rnacentral:rRNA from 1 species
AUUGAACGCUGGCGGCAGGCCUAACACAUGCAAGUCGAGCGGAGCGGCGGACGGGGGAGCAAGGCAUAGGAAUCGGCACGGGAGCGGGGGAGAAGGAUCGGAAACGGGAGCUAAGACCGCAUACUAUCAGUACAGCAUAGGUCGGAUUCGCUAGUUGGUGGGGGAAAGGCAUACCAAGGCGACGAUCCGUAACUGGUCUGAGAGGAUGAUCAGUCACACUGGAACGAAGACACGGUCCAGACUCCGACGGGAGGCAGCAGUGGGGAAUAUUGGACAAUGGGCGAAAGCCUGAUCCAGCCAUGCCGCGUGUGUGAAGAAGGUCUUCGGAUUGUAAAGCACUUUAAGUUGGGAGGCGUUACCAACAGAAUAAGCACCGGCUAACUUCGUGCCAGCAGCCGCGGUAAUAC